AUCCAGAUGAAGAGUGCCAAACGGGACGAAUUGCGCAUCCUGAAU
rnacentral:hammerhead_ribozyme from 1 species